ensembl:lncRNA
GGCGGGGGCGGGCAUUCACGCUUUAGUUUUUAAUUCAGACUCGACUGUGGCGGCGCAGGGCUAGGGGUCCGUCUGUCUGUCUGUCCCUGUACAAACCUGACACCAGCAAAGACGGCAGACGCGUCCGUACGUCGGACGUCCUGACAUGAGCUGCUGCUCGCCCUCUCCCCGGCCGCCCCCCGCUCUGCUCCAGGAGUCCUUUAAGACGUGGGUGGGGGUGGGGUCAGGGGUCGGAGGGUGGGGCUGCCGGUUGUGUUGAGUGGCGAUUGGACGAGGUGCGGUCCUUGAAGCAAUCGAGAUAUCCCCCCCCUCCCCCCGUGGUGCUGAGGUCUUCUGUGGGCACGGACUGCCAUGGUGCUAACAGUCAGGCUCCGCCUCUAGCCGGCAGCCCCCCCCACCGUCGCCUAGACAACCAGGCAGCUCCCCCUGUGUCGGGCCAGCAGGCAGCUGGCGGCGGGCCGAGCGCAGACCUCCACCUCACAGCACAGCUUGGCGUGGCCCCCCAAGGCUGCUAGGGACCCUUUAAUAUCACCGAGCUCAUGGGACCCCCCUGUAGCCGCGGGGCCGGGGCUGACACUUUCAGUAUUCACCUGCCCCCCCAGAGCGGGGAGUCUCGCUGAACAGGAGGCAGACUAGCGUCUCUGGUGUCUGGACUCACCGUCUGGGUCCAGGCUCAGACUGCCCCCCACCCGUACACACACAUGUCAUUUGCAGGCAGAUCUGUAGCACUGUCUCCAAGGCCAGUACCGCCCAGCCAUGCACGCACUCUGCAGUGUUUGUACAGAAUAGAACUCUAGAUUCAGUCUUUACAUGAUUGUAUAUGAACCACAAAAGACCUGUUUUUUUGGCGUUUUUUUGUACGAAGAAUAAAUUAUGAUCCAGAUUUGAGAAAAAAAGAUUGUAUUGUAAACUAUGGCUAAAUUUUUAUCCAGUUAAGAUGAAUUGAUCUUACCAGCUUGUACAAAAGACUUAAGAGGAGGUUGUUCACGGCAUUCACCUGUCCCCACUUUGCACCCCCCGCUAUACUAACCUGAUGGCUGCUCUGGUUUUUAAGGGCGCCCCUCACCCCUUCAUUCGGACGGCAUGUAUUGCUGAGAUUGUAAAUAGACGGCGGCGUAACGGUCGCCGCGCUCCACCAGUCCAGAGGCACUGCCAGCUGGUGACCCCCCCCUUAUGGUCGCAUGGUGCAAGACCCCGCCACGCCCCAGCAGCUCCAUGACCACAGGGGGCGUACCACCGGAGCGUCGUGCCUCACUGUAGCAGUGCUCCUCGUCUUGCACUGCCCCCCUGCUGGUGAACGCCUGAACAACCUUUUCUCUUAUUUUUAAAUACUGUCGAGACAUUGUGAAGAUUAUGUGGUUGUGUUUGUUUUGUCUUUUUUAAUGAGCUGUGACAAUGCUAUGAUGUGUACCCCCCCUCCUUUAAGUUGAACUCCUUAGUAAUCAGGUAUGCUAUAUAUAUAUAUAGACCCUCCCUCAUAGUGUCCACCCGCUGUUCCUUGGCUUGGCCCCCCGGUCCCUCACCCCCCCUCUGGGACUCUGGUCCCCCCCAGCCUGGCCCAUCGGGCCCCUGGCCCGUGCGUUGCCCUGGUUCUCCAUCUGCCCCGACCCCAGGCCCACUGUAAUUGUUUUGCCCCUGGUUCAACCACUCUGUACAGCCCCCCCCUCCCGUAUCUCAGUUCUAGUGCCAUCGCCAUAGUCCUGUUGCUCUGCUGGAGGACCCCCCAGGUCUAAGGAUGAGGCAGUCGGUGUGUCAGGUCCCCCCGUUAGGCCCGCCCCCGGGAGCUCUGUAGUCGGGUUUCUGGUCGGAACGCUGGAGCUCCGUCCACGGGGCUCCGCCCACGAGGCUCUGCCUCCGUCGUUGUUCUCAGCGUGCAGAUCCGUUGGAACCGAGCACUUGGCUUCAGAUACUGCUUUAGACCCCCCCCCCCCUCUGUGAGUUUGGACACAUUUUAGUGAUUAUUGAUCACGCCACUUUUUUAAAAAUGUAUAUUUUGACAUCUGUCAGGGGGACAACGAGUAGAGAAGUUCAGACUUAAUUGUAAAGUUGAGUUUUCUUGUCAAUUUAGUUUGCCCCACGUUUUUAUUUUACUUGUUUUCGAUUGAAUGGUGUCCAGCCUGAUUUUAUUUUCUUUCUGAAUUGCAUUAGUAUUGUAGUAGAUUUAAAGACUAGCUUUUUGUAAAGUGUGAAUAAAAGAUGUAUCUCAUGUUUCCUUUCUAAAAGAUGUGUUGUGUAAAUCCUGAACUCUAUGGUGUUAUGGUGGCCACGUUCUGUCCCUUAAUCCUCUUGAUUUCCCCCUGGCGUUGCAAACCAAAUCCUGUGUUAACCCUGGUGGGAAAGGUCUCAUGAGAUUAGUAGUUGAGGAAUUGAACACUUCUGAAGUCUCGCGCAGAUGGAUUUGAUAAGAGGUGCCGAGUACCAUUGUUUAUUGGUAAGUGUUUUUUUUAAUCACGGGAUAUUCAAGUUUUACGUUUUGAAUUUCAGCUUUAUGUGGGAUGUUUCGUGACUCUAGCCAUGUUCUUAGGAUAGGGCAGGUGAUUUGUGGCAGUCUGGCCGGUAUGGGAAAUGUUUUUAGUUCUAGACUGGUCCUGUGAUUUUUGAGUAGCAUACUAGUCCCAUCUCACUUUGUACCGUGUGCAUCACAGUGGAUAACUGUUACGCUAGCAAGCUAUAGAUAGUUAUAGUUCUUUUGGACGUGGCCCCACGUCGUCUGGCUUGUGACGGGCGAUCAGGGUGGCGGUCCCUCGUCUUCAGUGUGUAGGAACACUGGGUUGGAUCUGCACUUUGUCACUGUGGGUCGGAGCACGCUGAAGUUGGCUCUUUUCUUUUUCGCCAGGCUGAAUCUUGUUUUAACUUGUGUUUUUCCGAUUCGAUGUUGUACACCAAAGCUGCUUGUGUUUAAGUUUUUAAGAUUUAGAGCAAGACCCCCUCCCCUAGUGUUAUUGAUGCAGGGCGGGUACCCAGGGCAGAUGCUGCCGUUCCCUUGGUAACGGUCACGCGUUGCAUCCACGUGCGGCCAUCCGUCAGUGGAGCGGUGGAUUCAGUAGUUCUCCUGAAACUUGGCAAUAAUACCGUAGACGUUUUUAUUUUUUAACCUGGAAGCCCGCGGCUUGUUGCCUGCUUCAUUUCUAUUUUGUGGAUCCGCAGCACGCCUGCGGUUGGGCCGUCCGUCCUCCGACCCCCAGUGGGAUGUCUCCUUUCGUUUCUCCUCAUUUUGUAUAUUUACUCGCCCACCCUGCCGAUCGAUAGUGAUAGUUGUUCAAUAAUCAGGAUUGUCUAUCUUUUAGUCAAAUGAGUACAUAUAUUGAUCUGUGUCACUGUGUUAAUACACUGGACCAACAAUUGUUUACCAUUCAUAAAAUACCAGCAAAAUAUUACGAAUAAUAACCUGGAGGAAAAAAAAACACACAUGCACAAUGUUGUAGAAUGUCCAUGAACCCAGAUCAGAUAACAAGGCAGCUGUUUUCAAUUCAACACACUGAUAAAAAAAAAAGCUGAGUGGUAAACAAUGCUCUUUCUGUUGUACCCCUUUGCUGUCCUCUUGAUAGUUUUCAGACUUUACUUUUCUCUCUGUUGAAUAGAGGUUCUGCUUGGUUUCUUUACACCUAUAUGUAUUUUCCUACUUCUGGUGGAAAUAAAUUCUAUAUUAUCUGUUUUAAACGUGUCACC